rnacentral:rRNA from 1 species
AGGGCUUAUAGAGGAUACCUUGGCACUUAGAAGCGAAGAAAGACGUGGUUACCGACGAAACGCCUCGGGGAGUUGGAACAUGCUGUGAUCCGUGGGUAUCUGAAUAAGGAAACUUCUUAGAACUACUUAUUGAAUAUAAAUAAAUAAGCAAGAGCAAACCUGGUGAACUGAAACAUCUUAUUAACCAGAGGAGAAAAAAGUAAAAAUGAUUCCCGUAGUAGCGGCGAGCGAACUGGGAUUAGCCCAAACUAAUUAUUGUAAAAUUAGGGUAGUGGGAAAGUUAAACAAUAGAUAAAAAAGUUAGACGAAUUAGUUGGAAUACUAAACGAUACAGAGUGAAAGUCUUGUAGUUGAAAACUUGAAACACUAAUUUAUCCCAAGUAGCAUGGGGCACGUGAAAUCCCUUGUGAAUCUGCGAGGACCACCUUGUAAGGCUAAAUAUUACUAAGUGACCGAUAGUGAACAAGUACCGUGAGGGAAAGGUGAAAAGAACCCCGAUAGGGGAGUGAAAUAGAAAUCAUGAAACUGUAAGCUUACAAGCAGUAGGAGGACGACUAAACGUUUGACUUCGUGCCUGUUGAAGAAUGAGCCGGCGACUUAUAGGUGAUGGCCUUUGGUUAAAUUUGAGGAGCCAUAGCGAAAGCGAGUUUGAAUAGAGCGUUUGUCAUUAUUUAUAGACCCGAACCCGGAUGAUCUAACCAUGGCCAGGAUGAAGCUGAAGUAAAAUCCAGUGGAGGUCCGAACCGACUGAUGUUGAAAAAUCAGCGGAUGAGUUGUGGUUAGGGGUGAAAUGCCAAUCGAAUCCGGAGCUAGCUGGUUCUCCCCGAAAUGCGUUUAGGCGCAGCGGUUAAUGUUAUAAUUUAGGGGUAAAGCACUGUUUCGGUGCGGGCUGGUAAAACGGUACCAAAUCGAGGCAAACUAAGAAUACUAAAUGAAUAAUUAACCAGUAAGACUGUGGGGGAUAAGCUCCAUUGUCAAGAGGGAAACAGCCCAGAUCACCAGCUAAGGCCCCUAAAUAAUUACUAAGUGAUAAAGGAAGUGGGAGUGCAGAAACAAUCAGGAGGUUUGCUUAGAAGCAGCAACCCUUUAAAGAGUGCGUAAUAGCUCACUGAUCGAGCAAACCUGCGCCGAAAAUGAACGGGACUAAGUAAUUUGCCGAAGCUGUGAGAUAUUAAUUAUCGGUAGGGGAGCGUUCUGUUAGAUUGAAGUAUUAGUGAAAACGGAUAUGGACAAGACAGAAGUGAGAAUGUCGGCUUGAGUAGCGAAAACAUUGGUGAGAAUCCAAUGCCCCGAAAACCUAAGGUUUCCUCUGGAAGGCUCGUCCGCAGAGGGUUAGUCAGGGCCUAAGACGAGGUCGAAAGGCGUAGUCGAUGGAUAACAGGUUAAUAUUCCUGUACUAUUAAGUGUUGAUAAUAAGAGACGGAAGAGGUUAAUCUAGCCGGAUGUUGGUUACCGGUUUAAGCGUUAAAGGUAAUGAGAAGUAGAGAAAAUACUUUGAGCUAAAGCGUGAAUACGAGAUAUACUUAUCGAAGUAGAUGAUACCAUAUUUACAAGAAAAUCUUACACUGUCAUAAGCAUUUAAUACCUGUACUGUAAACUGACACAAGUGGGUAGGUAGAGAAUACUAAGGGGCGCGAGAUAACUCUCUCUAAGGAACUCGGCAAAAUAACCUCGUAACUUCGGAAGAAGAGGUGCCUAUUUAGGCUGCAAUAACAAGGUCCAAGCGACUGUUUACCAAAAACACAGGUCUCCGCAAAGUUGUAAAACAAUGUAUGGGGGCUGACGCCUGCCCAGUGCCGGAAGGUUAAAGAAGUAGGUCAAUUAUUUAUAAUGAAGCUAGCGACUGAAGCCCCGGUGAACGGCGGCCGUAACUAUAACGGUCCUAAGGUAGCGAAAUUCCUUGUCGGGUAAGUUCCGACCUGCACGAAAGGCGUAACGAUUUGGGCACUGUCUCGGAGAGAGACUCGGCGAAAUAGACUUGUCUGUGAAGAUGCGGACUACCUGCACCUGGACAGAAAGACCCUAUGAAGCUUUACUGUAGCUUGAGAUUGAUUUCAAAUUCUAUUUGCGUAGGAUAGGUGGGAGAUAGUGAAGAUAUUUUUCUGGAAAUAUUCGAAUCAUCCUUGAAAUACCACCCUAAUAUAAUGAGAAAUCUAACUUUUUACCAUUAUCUGGUUGAAGAACAGUUUCAGGUGGUCAGUUUGACUGGGGCGGUCGCCUCCUAAAAAGUAACGGAGGCGCACAAAGGUUUUCUCAAAUCGGUCAGAAAUCGAUUGUAGAGCGUAAAGGUAUAUGAAAGCUUGACUGUGAGACUUACAAGUCGAGCAGGGACGAAAGUCGGUCUUAGUGAUCUGGCGGUACCGAGUGGAAGGGCCGUCACUCAACGGAUAAAAGUUACUCUAGGGAUAACAGGCUGAUCUCCCCCAAGAGUUCACAUCGACGGGGAGGUUUGGCACCUCGAUGUCGGCUCGUCGCAUCCUGGGGCGGUAGCACGUCCCAAGGGUUGGGCUGUUCGCCCAUGAAAGCGGUACGCGAGCUGGGUUCAGAACGUCGUGAGACAGUUCGGUCCAUAUCCGGUGUAGGCGUUAGAGCAUUGUGAGGAUUCUUCUUUAGUACGAGAGGAUCGAGAAGGACAUACCUCUGGUGUACCAGUUAUCGUGCCAACGGUAAACGCUGGGUAGCUAUGUAUGGAGUGGAUAACCGCUGAAAGCAUCUAAGUGGGAAGCCCACCUCAAGAUGAUUGCUCUUAAUCUUAAUAAAGAUAUAAGGUUACGGUAAGAUUAACCGUUCGAUAGGUAUUAAGUGUACGUACAGUAAUGUAUUUAGCUAAGAUAUACUAACAAACCGAAUACUUGAAUU